rnacentral:rRNA from 1 species
GAGUUUGAUCUUGGCUCAGGAUGAACGCUGGCGGCGUGCUUAACACAUGCAAGUCGAGCGAAGCACCUGCCGUUGACUCUUCGGAAGAUAUGGCAUGUGACUGAGCGGCGGACGGGUGAGUAACGCGUGGGUAACCUGCCUCACACAGGGGGAUAACAGCUAGAAAUGGCUGCUAAUACCGCAUAAGCGCACAGUGCCGCAUGGCACGGUGUGAAAAACUCCGGUGGUGUGAGAUGGACCCGCGUCUGAUUAGGUAGUUGGUAAGGUAACGGCUUACCAAGCCGACGAUCAGUAGCCGGCCUGAGAGGGUGGACGGCCACAUUGGGACUGAGACACGGCCCAGACUCCGUACGGGAGGCAGCAGUGGGGAAUAUUGCACAAUGGGGGAAACCCUGAUGCAGCGACGCCGCGUG